CACAGAUCUUAUACCUUGAUGCAGCUGCAAACAACAAAGCCUCAACUGGAUGGCCGUCAAGAGUAUGUGGUGACCAAGGGGUCGAGAAUGUGGACAUUGCCAGGUGCAUGUUCUCAGUACGAGGAACUGGACGUGGAAGCUUCAUAGCCGGGAAAAGUGUUCACAAUCAGAGAGUGGAGCGGCUGUGGCGCGACGUGUGGUCAGGAGUCACCUGCACAUACUAUGAUGACCUACACUCACUGGAGGAAGAGGGGCUGCUUGACCUGUCAGACGGGGUUGACCUGUUCUGUGUGCAUUAUGCGAUUUCCUAGAUUCCUAUUAUGUGACUGAGGUCUGAUCUGAAAGGCUUCUUGAAUAGUUGGAACCACCAUCCUUAAAGAACCGAAGGAAACCUGACCCCUAACCAGCUGUGGCACAUCGGGAUGCUCCAACCAUCUGUGGUUGAGCCAGAUGUACAGCCCCCAGAGAAUAUCCCAGAGAGUUGUGACCCUGAGGAUGGAGUGGUGGUGACUGAAAUUCCCUGCCCCCUGUCAGAGAGGAACUUUGUCAUCCUGCAAGAGGUA